AGUUAAUUUUGCCUUUCACCUAUGGUGAAAAUAUGGAACUGCAAGUGCUGUUCAUCCUCGGAGGCUGCAAGCACUGAAGGCUCUUACUUAUGCUCCUUCAAGCAACUCAGAAAUCCUAUCCAAGUUGUAUGAGAUAGUGUUCAGGAUUUUGGAAAAGGUUGGUGAACCUCAGAAGCGAAAGAAGGGGAUAUUUGGAAUAAAGGGAGGUGAGAAGGAG